rnacentral:lncRNA from 1 species
UUCUUGGCAUCUCGCUGCCCUUCCACAGCCAUCUAUCAACCCUCCACAACCAUCCAAAGCAAUUCCCACAAUUGCUUAAAUGAUCGUCGCCGAAUUCCACCAUCAUCUCCACCACCGCGGAUCAUCCUUUGAUCUCCCCGUGAAUUGCAACGGGUUCUGGUUUCCUACCUUACUGCUGCUGCAAUUUAGUUAUCCUUAUUCAAAAAAUCUAAAAAAAAAAAAUUGUUCCUAUAUUGCUGCAUAAACUUUUCGUCACAAAGUUUUCAUCUCUAUGACGAAAGAUACAUUGCAGAAUUCCAGCCGCAUAGCACCAUCUUUU